AGCACUGCCCCCGGUAAGUGAGGGUGUGGCUGCCCCUGCCUUGUGCUGCUCCGUUUUCUGACUGUCUGCAUCCACCCUCAGGAGCU
rnacentral:pre_miRNA from 1 species